AGGUAAAAAGUACAUUAUUUUCUUUAGGAAUGUAGUGAAGUAAAAGUUGGCAAUAAUAUAAAUUGUACAGAUACACAAACUACUUAAGUCAAAAUACUUGAAAGUGCUUCUUAAACUUUGCACAAAUGCUCAAUUGCUACAACAGAGAGAGCGAGCCAGUGCAGCGUUAUGUAUAUCUUUUAACUUACGAAGUGUUUAUGAUUAGCCAUAGUGACAAAAAAGAGCACCUUAUUAUUGCUCAAUAUGUAUUUUCGUAAACAUGAAAAUUAUCACUCAAAAAAAUUGUACCAACAAGUAGGGCGUGUAGUUUCAUUUCUGACUCACUUGCACUUCGUAUCAUUUUGCAAAGCGUAACGGGCAGCAGAUCGAUCACUCAAGUAUUGUCAACAUAUUUUUACAAACAACAGGGCGUGUAGUUUCAUUUCUGACUCACUUGCACUAUGUACCAUCUUGGAAAGCGAAACUGACAGCGAACAGGCCUGGGCCUGUUUAAAGAGCAGCUCGCGGAAUUCCCCAACACUGAUCCGCAGAGACGAGGACAGUAACAGAGCGAAUCGUUACUGUCAACCAGACAACAAGGACUACAGAAAUACGCGUAUUUAAAAGUUUUAUGUCAUCUGCAAUUGGACCCUAAAUCCCAUCAAAAAUAUUCACACGUCCAGCAAAGUGGACCAAUAGUAAUUCAGCCUGAAUGGAAAACCCAAACAGGGGCAGGAGAGGUAGAGGAGCCAACCAUGUCCAUCACAGAAUAGGUGCUGAGGCUGGUCAGAGAGAAGAGGAAGGGAUAGCCAACCGAGGGGGAAGAGGUAGGGGGGCCAGGGGAGAGAGGAGAGGUGUUAAUGGGGGGAACCCAAGGGAGGAUAGGAGAGCGCGAGAUGCCAGGG